rnacentral:rRNA from 1 species
AGUGGAAAAGGAUGUGGCGUUGCCCAGACAACCAGGAUGUUGGCUUAGAAGCAGCCAUCAUUUAAAGAAAGCGUAAUAGCUCACUGGUCGAGUCGGCCUGCGCGGAAGAUGUAACGGGGCUAAACCAUGCACCGAAGCUGCGGCAGCGACGCUUAUGCGUUGUUGGGUAGGGGAGCGUUCUGUAAGCCGUUGAAGGUGGCUCGUGAGGGUUGCUGGAGGUAUCAGAAGUGCGAAUGCUGACAUAAGUAACGAUAAUGCGGGUGAAAAACCCGCACGCCGGAAGACCAAGGGUUCCUGUCCAACGUUAAUCGGGGCAGGGUGAGUCGACCCCUAAGGCGAGGCUGAAAAGCGUAGUCGAUGGGAAACAGGUUAAUAUUCCUGUACUUGGUGUUACUGCGAAGGGGGGACGGAGAAGGCUAGGCUAGCCGGGCGACGGUUGU